rnacentral:lncRNA from 1 species
UGCUUUAUGCAUAUGCCGUAAGAUUCGAUUUGACAAAAAAAAUUUAAAAUUUUUUGAUUUUUGGAGAACUAAAUAAUGUAUAAAGGGCCCCAGAUUUUUUUUCGCCCCGGACCUCAAAAAAUUCAGGGCCGGCACUGGACAGGAUGGAACCAUUCCAUCUGGCUUUUGCGUGUUUGGUUCAAGGAUAUUCACACAAGAUUCAGGCUCCACUCCUCGUGAAAAGGCCGAAUGUUUUCACCUGCAAUUCGAUCUGUUGCUUUCGUGCAACUUCCAUGUAACCUUUUGCCUUUUUCUGCAAAUUAAAUUAAGCUAGUGAAGCUCUCCUUUCACUAAACUAAUGAUUUCCUUCUUACCCUAAACGGCCUUUUGCAUGCAAUGCCUAUUCAUAUUGUGAGCUUGUGCACUUUUUAACACUAGUACUAAACUGGAUGUACAUAUGAGCAUCAAUAACCGAGAAUACAGCAUAGACAGUCUUCCUUACCAUCGCAAUAGGAUGACAUUUUCUUUAGUAGACUCAGUGGGAGCAAUUUCUACAGGGGCU